GAUGAACGCUGGCGGGGUGCCUAAUACAUGCAAGUCGAGCGAACAGACGAGGAGCUUGCUCCUCUGACGUUAGCGGCGGACGGGUGAGUAACACGUGGAUAACCUACCUAUAAGACUGGGAUAACUUCGGGAAACCGGAGCUAAUACCGGAUAACAUGUUGAACCGCAUGGUUCAACAGUGAAAGACGGUCUUGCUGUCACUUAUAGAUGGAUCCGCGCCGCAUUAGCUAGUUGGUAAGGUAACGGCUUACCAAGGCAACGAUGCGUAGCCGACCUGAGAGGGUGAUCGGCCACACUGGAACUGAGACACGGUCCAGACUCCUACGGGAGGCAGCAGUAGGGAAUCUUCCGCAAUGGGCGAAAGCCUUACGGAGCAACGCCGCGUGAGUGAAGAAGGUCUUCGGAUCGUAAAACUCUGUUAUUAGGGAAGAACAAAUGUGUAAGUAACUAUGCACGUCUUGACGGUACCUAAUCAGAAAGCCACGGCUAACUACGUG
rnacentral:rRNA from 1 species